AUUGAACGCUGGCGGCAUGCCUUACACAUGCAAGUCGAACGGUAACAGGUCUUCGGAUGCUGACGAGUGGCGAACGGGUGAGUAAUACAUCGGAACGUGCCUAGUAGUGGGGGAUAACUACUCGAAAGAGUGGCUAAUACCGCAUGAGAUCUACGGAUGAAAGCAGGGGAUCGAAAGACCUUGUGCUACUAGAGCGGUCGAUGGGAGGUUAGGUAGUUGGUGGGAUAAAAGCUCACCAAGCCGACGAUCUGUAGCUGGUCUGAGAGGACGAUCAGCCACACUGGGACUGAGAAACGGCCCAGACUCCUACGGGAGGCAGUAGUGGGGAAUUUUGGACAAUGGGCGCAAGCCUGAUCCAGCAAUGCCGCGUGCAGGAUGAAGGCCCUCGGGUUGUAAACUGCUUUUGUACGGAACGAAAAGCCCCGGGUUAAUACCCUGGGGUCAUGACGGUACCGUAAGAAUAAGCACCGGCUAACUACGUGCCAGCAGCCGCAGUAA
rnacentral:rRNA from 1 species